GUCAAGCCUUUAUUCUUUCAUUUUAUCCCUGUUUCAAACCCAGGAGCACUGGAACUGUGAAAAUGUGAGCAGCUACCUAGAGUUGGACUAAUAUAGGUAUGACAGUAACUGCAAGAAAGGAAGAAGGAGACUGGGCUGCUACAGGAAAGCACUACCGUUACAGUGGCACUGGUGUGGGGAAACACAUCUCUCGAACAGGAUGGCCGGCUGCUGUCUGGACGGUGGUGGGAGCACUGCAAGGAUCCACUGCAAGGGUCCUUGCAACAGCAUCUUCAGCUGGAUCAGCAUCACAGAAAUGCGUGCUGGCUGCUCUCAAAAGAUCUGAUGGUUAAGGCUGCCUGAUUUCAAAUCCUCCGCGAAUCCUGGCACGGACCACCUCUCUCCAAAGAGUCACCCUCAAGAUCCAGAGUCUCGGACUUGGCAAUGGACCCUUCUGUCAACAUGUGGUCCAAGAGAGGAGGGGAGCGUGAGUGGCAAAUCCUCCGACUGUGCCUGGAUGGCAGCUCUGAAAGCGCAGCUUCCUGGGGCAGCGAAGGUCAGGCACAUCUCAAAACUCUACCCUGCACAAUGUGCUUUGGAG